rnacentral:rRNA from 1 species
UGGGGAAUAUUGCACAAUGGGCGCAAGCCUGAUGCAGCCAUGCCGCGUGUGUGAAGAAGGCCUUCGGGUUGUAAAGCACUUUCAGCGGGGAGGAAGGCGUUAAGGUUAAUAACCUUGGCGAUUGACGUUACCCGCAGAAGAAGCACCGGCUAACUCCGUGCCAGCAGCCGCGGUAAUACGGAUGGUGCAAGCGUUAAUCGGAAUUACUGGGCGUAAAGCGCACGCAGGCGGUCUGUCAAGUCGGAUGUGAAAUCCCCGGGCUCAACCUGGGAACUGCAUUCGAAACUGGCAGGCUAGAGUCUUGUAGAGGGGGGUAGAAUUCCAGGUGUAGCGGUGAAAUGCGUAGAGAUCUGGAGGAAUACCGGUGGCGAAGGCGGCCCCCUGGACAAAGACUGACGCUCAGGUGCGAAAGCGUGGGGAGCAAACAGG